CAAUAGCGUAUAUUUAAGUUGUUGCAGUUAAAAAGCUCGUAGUUGGAUUUGUGGUUCGUCCCGCCGGCUGGGUCAUUGACUUUUGCUAUGCUGGUCGUCCAUCCUUGGGUGGAAUCUGUGUGGCAUUAGGUUGUCGCGCAGGGGAUGCCCAUCGUUUACUGUGAAAAAAUUAGAGUGUUCAAAGCAGGCUUAUGCCGUUGAAUAUAUUAGCAUGGAAUAAUGAUAUAGGACCUUGGUACUAUUUUGUUGGUUUGCGCACUGAGGUAAUGAUUAAUAGGGACAGUUGGGGGUAUUCGUAUUCCAUUGUAAGAGGUGAAAUUCUUGGAUUUUUGGAAGACGAACUACUGCGAAAGCAUUUACCAAGGAUGUUUUCAUUAA
rnacentral:rRNA from 1 species